UCCUGUUUCAGUUAGCCAGCAAACCCACACUCCCCUAACCCAGCACACAUUUUUGUAACUACCCCCUAGAGGUUUUCUUCAUCAAGUAAGGAAAAUCGAAUUCUGUUUUCCUAAGUGACGGGAUGUGUUUAUCCAGGGACUCCAAGCGGGAUCCAGCGCCUGGCCAGAUGGAUCCAGAUAUACUCAGCAGAAUGUGAGGCGCCGGCCCCAGGGCCCUCCCUGACCAUGUGACUCACAGAAGGCAUCAACUCCUCAGCUAGGAGUGGAACGUUCUUGGGUUCUCUUCUAGCCUCCUGAGAGUCUGCUCAGGUCAAGAAGCACCUAGGAAUGAGAAGAAACACUUGUGUUCAGAAACAUGAAAGCACUUGCGGGUUGCUCUCAUCAGCAUGGCUGAGCUGGAGAAGCAGGCCACCGUGUGCCACUUUUGUGCAGAAGAAGAGGGACUUGGAGAGCGGAGACAUCUGCUGUGCAGUCUUAAAACCACACUGCAUCACCUGCUACUGGCUGAGCUAGUCAUGGGCUCCAGCACAUCACGGGGCCACCAAGACUUGUGUUGUCUUGGAAAUAGAGUUCAACAGCCUUUUUGGUCACAGGAACAGAAGAUAUGAUAAAACAGGGACUGGCCUGGAACUUGCUACACAGCCAAUGGUGGCUUUGACCCUCCUGACUCGGCUCCCAAGUGUUGGGGUUACAGUGUGUGCCACCUGGUCUGACCUUGGAAUGUUGCGGGAACCUUCCUUCAAUAAGUUCUUGUCUCUGGAGGAGGGAAAACUCCUUUCAAGAGCUUGACACAUGAUGAACUUUUGUUUUUGUUUUUGUUUUUGUUUUUCGAGACAGGGUUUCUCUGUGUAGCUUUGCGCCUUUUCCUGGAACUCACUUGGUAGCCCAGGCUGGCCUCGAACUCACAGAGAUCCACCUGGCUCUGCCUCCCGAGUGCUGGGAUUAAAGGCGUGCGCCACCACCGCCCGGCUAUGAUGAACUUUUGACUAGCACAGCUGGCUAGCACAGCUGGCUAGCCAGCAGCACCGGCCUCCCUGGUUCAUGACAGACACACACUCUGUGAAGCACCCCAAGCGACCUGCCGACAUUCCCACAACUCACCAGGGUUGAGGUUAGCAUAUCAUGGGGGCAGAGACUGGAGUAAGUUGUUUGAGAAAACAAUCUGUCUUUUAAUAACAGUAGAUGCAGAAUAAGAAUUGAUGAGGAAUAUAAGAAGGCCCUCAUCACUUUGGCAUGUGACAGGGUGACUUCCAGGAAACAAAAGGCCUACAUCAACAACAAACCAUACCAUGACCAUUGUCCACAGUCAUGCUCUGAGGCUGCUCUGAAGGUAGCUGUGGGUUUUGAGAAUGUGGCAGGCUCUCUCUCUUCCCUUCUCUUGCCUCUGUAAAUGAUAAUGAAAAGGGAAAAGCCAUUGUAUACAAAAUUACGCCUGAAAUUUUUAAACUUUAAGCCAAAAGUCUGUUUCUUCAAAUUGAAAAGUAGUACUUUGGGACCAACACACUCAAUGCUGUUGCUAGGAAACCCAUUCUCAAUUUUCUACCCUUUAAUCUUGGUGAACUUGAAAACAGUAUCAAAGGCGAGCUAGGCUAUUGGAUUUUCAUUCUGUCUUUGUUUUUUCUCCUUUUAAAAAGGACAUGGCUUUCCCCCUCUUUUUAAUAAACCCAAAUCCACCAAGCCUCCAUCCUAUCCUUUUUCAAACCCUGCCAUCUGUCUUGUUCCCCCAGACCUUCAGUCGUCCUUCUCUGGACACCAAAUCAUCUCUAUCUCAUGUCAGCCAUGCCUCCCCGCCCCCCAAGGGUGUCAUGAGUUUUGGUUAAGUAACUCCUCAUUGCGUGUGCCUCUGAGAAUUAACUUGACCCCAUCAUGGGUUUUAAUGCCUAUAUAUGAACCCAUGUUGAUUCCCCAAACCCUUUCUCUGGUUUCCCAGCUCCUGAGCCUCCUGUAGAACCCUGUCCUGGUUUCUGAUCCGCGGGUGGUGACCUGGUCUUGUGCCUCUUACACAGGCUAUCCUUGAGUCUGCCUGGAAGCUCUGUUUUCCUGCAGUUCACCCAAGUCCAGCUUCUUCCCUCUCCCCUGGUUUGCCUGUCUGUGCGCUGGAGCAUAUCCUUUUGUGAACUUCUGGCAAAUGUAACGGACAAUAAUUUUUUGAGGACUUCUCUGAAUGUGUCUUUCUUCUGAUUUUACAUUUGAUUAAUAGUUGCUUGAACACAGGAUUCAAAUACUUCCCAGGCCUUUGGAGGCACCGCUCCAUUGUCUCCUUGUCUCUUGAGUUACUGGGGAGAGGGUCAGGCAUAGAUUCUGAUCCACGGUCUGUUGUACAAACCCACAGAGUCAUCUCUUGCCGCUGUGACAAGAUCCUUGAGAAAAUCGACUUUAAAAUAGAAAGUCUCAGAUGUGGGGCUCAAGGGACACUGAGCUGGAUCAUGGGGGGGGUAAGAUGUUUAUUAGAAGAGUUAUUAAUUCCAUGGGUAGACAGACAGACAGAAAGACAGACAACAACGUGGCGGGGCUUCUGAGGAGAGUUUUCCAGGUCAGACAGCAUGGGUGGGGUCCUAUGAAGCAUGGGUGGGGGUACUUUUUUUUUUUACUCUUGGGGGCCUGCCACCCAGCUCCCAAAUAAAUACAUGGAGACUUAUUCUUACUUAUGAAUACCCAGUCUUAGCUUGGCUUGUUCCUAGCCAGCCUUUCUAACUUAAAUUAUCCCGUUUCUCUUUUACUACAUUUUGCCUCUGGGCUUUUUACCUUUCUUUAGUCUAUAUAAUUUUCUUUCCUUCUUACUCUGUGACUGGCUGUGUGGCUGGGUGGCUAGUCCCUGGCUUCUUCCUCUCCUCCUCUUCUCGCUCCUCCCCUUCUCUUAUUCUCUCUGCCUGCCAGCCCCGCCUAUCCUUUCUCCUGCCUAUUAUUGGCCAUUCAGCUCUUUAUUAGACCAAUUGGAUGUUUUAGACAGGCACAGUAACACAGCUUUACAGGGUUAAACAAAUGCAACCUAAAAGAAUGCAACACAUCUUUGCACCAUUAAACAAAUAUUCCACAGCAUAAAUGAAUGUAGCACAUCUUGAACAAACAUUCAACAACAAGUGGGAGCCUAUGAAACAGAUUCAGGCCCGUGUAGCUGAGUCAGGGUCCCGUCUCAGCUGGAGUUUGCAGCCAGGCUUCCUGAUUCCCUGGCAGAAGGCAGGGAAAGGGAUUUGGAGUAGGGUGUGUGGUCACUGGCAUCCCUUUGAUGUGAACCCAAUUCCUAGCCCAGAAGUCUGACUACCCAGAAGCUUGCUAACUAGUGUUCUUAGUAGGGUGCCCAUCAGCACCUGUAGGAGGGCUGUAGGUAUUACAGCCUCAGCAGAAGUCUGAUCUGGAUCCUAACCCUGAGAAAGGUUUAUUUUUGUUCAUGCUUCCAGAGGUUUCAGCCCACGGGCUCGUGGCUCCAUUAUUUUGGGGGCAGCAGUGCACAAAAUCCUGUGGCAUGGAGCAAAUCUUACCUUAUGGCAACAACUGGGGGGGGUGUGAUGGUGUAUGGGUAUGUGCAAAUGCCUUUGGAGGCUUGAAGUAUUGACUCCCCAGGAGCAUGAGUUAUAGGCAGUUGUGAGAUGCCUGACAUGGAUGCUAGGAACUGAACUCAUGUCCUCUGAGAGAGCAAUCCAUUCUCUUUACUGCUGAGAUGCUAGGAACUGAACUCAGGUCCUCUGAGGGAGCAGUCCAUUCUCUUUACUGCUGAGCCAUCUCUUCAGACCAAUCAAUAUCUUUUCUUUGAUCCUUGUGAAUAUUUACUAUUACUCAAUAGAAAAGCUUUCCUUUCUAUAUUAGCUCCCCCCAUGUUCAUUUACUUAUUUUUGAGAUAGGGUAUCACUAUGUAGCACUGACUGGCUUUAUUAUGUAGAUCAGGUUGGCCUUGAACCUACACAGAAAUCCUCCUGCUGCUAGAGUGCUGGGAUCCGAGGUGUAUGCUGUCAGACCUGCUCCAUUAAUCUCCUUCCUUUCCCUUUCUCUCUCCCCUCCCUCAUUUUCCUCCCUCUUUCUGUUCUUCCUCCUUUCUUCCUCUCUGUCUUUUUCUUCUUUCUCAUUGUCUUAGUUAGGGUUUUAUUGCUGUGAAGAGACACCAUGACCACGGCAACUCUUAUAAAGGAAAAUGUUUAACUGGGGCUGGCUUACAGGUUCAGAGGUUCAGUCCAUUAUCAUCAUGGCGGGGAGCAUGGUGGCAUGCAGGCAGACAUGGUACUGGAGAGGAGCUGAGAGUUCUACAUCCAGAUCAGUAGGCAGCAGGAAGAGAGAGCGACACUGGGCCUCCCUUGAGCAUCUGAGACCUCAAAGCCCGCCCCCUAGUGACACACUUCCUCCAACAAGGCCACACCUCCUAAUAGUGUUACUCCCUAUGAGCCAGCCUAUGGGGGCCAUUUUUAUUCAAACCGCCACAUUCAUGCUUCCCUUUUCUCUUCCUGCUUUUUUUCUCCUUUUACUUUCUCUUUUUUCAUUCUUGCCGUUUUCUUUCUUUCCUUCUUCUUUUCUUUUCUUUUCUCUAUUUUUCUUCUUUGUGUCUGCUAUUUACAUUUCUGUUACUUUCUUAGGGGUUUUUCUUAGAGGGUAUGGCUGGUUGAUCCUAUUAGGGAGGAGGCACUGGAGAGCUUAGUUGGAAUCUAUGCAUUUAUAGAAUAAUUUGUUGAACAAUGAGGUUCCCAGGGAAUGGGGCUUACCUAUUUUUCCAACUUAUAUACCAGCACAGUGUGUCUUUCUUUAGGUCCAGUCCUCUACAGGGGAGCCUGUCUUUAGGUCACCAGGACGUUAUAGACUGAAUUGUGUUCUUCUUAACAGAUGUGUGAAAGGCUAACUGCCAAGACUCACAGUGUGUCUGUCCUUGCUUGGAGUCAUGACAUGGCCACUGUGGAGAGGGCUGGAUCUAACCAAGAAUGGCCGCCAUGAGAAUGGGACGAGAGAGACAGACACAUGAGGACCUCACAGGAGGCAGACUAUGGUGAUAUUUUAUUUGUGCUGAAAUGUGAUUUUAUUUGUAUGUUAAUAAAUAAACUUUGCCUGGAGAUCAGAGGUCAUAGCGAACCAUUAAGCAGAAGUCAGGUGGUGGUAGCCCAUGCCCUUAAUCCGAUCACAUGGCAGGCAGAGUCCCUGUGUGGUCAAGGACACAGCCAAGUGUGGUGACACAAACCUUUAAUUGCAGUACCAACCAUAGAGACCUGGAGGUCUGUAUAGACAGGCAGUGAUGAGGAAGUCAUGUGGCUGGGCUUAGAGCCAAUGAGAAGGCAGAAGAGAAAGGCAAUAAAAAGACAGGUCAGACAUUAGAGGCUCUCUCUGGGGAAGCUACUGCUGGUGGUAAGCUAAAGGUAGUCGUGGCUAUUGCUCUGAUCUCCUUGGCUAUUUCCUCUGUAUUUGGCUCUGUGUUUCUUAUUUACUAAGACUGUUUAGAAUUUCAUCUACAGCAGACACACAGAGAAGCUUCACCAUGAGAGGCUGCCAUGGGUUGAGAAGAACCUGGAGCCACCAGCAGCUGGAGGCAGUGGGCAGAGUGCUCCCUGGAAGCUCUGGAGACCAAGAGGCUCGGCCACACCCUGACUUUCAGCCUCUAGAACAGUGAGAAGACAAGUUUCUGUUGCUUUAGGCAUUUUGUUCUGGCGCCCUGGCGAAUGAGCGCAGAAGGUGUACGUGUCUAUUGAUCUUGAGUGAUUUCCACUGGAGGAGGUCUGAGCGGGGAGCCCUGCUCCUACAACAAUUUGACUUCACUCCUCCAUCUACUUCCCCGUUCAUGUAGGAUCUGCCCUUGUGUGUCUGGACAUGCUGUUCCUAAGUCUGGCUCCUUGGCACAACUCUGACUUAACUGCUCUUGACCUUAUUGGUUUGCAGACCCAGGGUCUUGCAUCCUUCCUGCACAGACCUCCAACAAAUUCUUGUCUGUUCAGCCACAGCUCAGUUUUGAACAAAAUAGCCCAAACUUUUUAUUCCUGAGAAAUCUGCCCUUUGUCUCCACAAAUGCAAUUUCUAGUUCUCAAGUCUCUCAAAGGUCACAGCUUCCACAGCCCUUGUCUCUCCAAGAUGUAAAGGCAGAUGCUCACUUCUGGCAUUUCCAAGCAGGGGUGCUGGCCGUUCUGGGGUGUAAUUCAAGUAACAUCAAGGUAGGUUCUGCAGGGAAAUCUCCAUGGAGAUUUGUCUAGGCACCACCUCCUGGUCCUCAGUCUCCACACAGAGCCCCUCAGGGCACAUUUGUUGACUAAAAGCAGGAGCUGAGAUGGCAGUGAAACUGGCCAGGAAAUAUCUGACUCUGCACACAAAGAAAAAAACUACAUCCCGAGAUUAUGGACUGGCUGGAUUUGUGUGUCAACUUGACACAAGCUAGUCAUCAGUUAGGAAGGAGCCUCAGUUGAGGAAAUGCCGCCAUGAGAUCCAGCUGUAAGGCAUUUUCUCAAUUAGUGAUCGAUGAGGGAGGACCCAGCCCAUUGUGGGUGGUGCCAUCCCUGGGCUGGUAGUCCUGGGUUCUAUAAGAAAGAAGGCUGAGCAAGCCAGUAAGCAGCACUCCUCCAUGGCCUCUGCAUCAGCUCCUGCCUCCAGGUUCCAGCCCUGCUUGAAUUCCUGUCCUGACUUCCUCCAACGAUGGACUAUGAUCUGGAAGUGUAACCCAACUUGCUUCUUGAUCAUGGUGUUUUGUUGCAGCAAUAGAAAACCCAAUUAAGAUAGAUUGCUAAAGAGAGACUGGAUCCACCCGCCUUUUACAAAUGGAAAUUUACAUUUCAAACUGCAAAAAGCAAAGGGUCCAACUGGAAUUUUCAUGUAGUCCUACAAUUAUAAAACCAAAGACACCUUUGCUAAAAUCAUUAAAUUGCAAUCUACUAUGGGAAGGUUUCUUGGCUCCUCUCACAUUCAGGCUUGUGACAGCCUUAAAAUUAAUCAGCUGAACCUGUUUAACGGCUCACAGA